UUAGAGAUUCUAUAGAUUUAUUUAGAGUCUGUUUUUACUAAAUAUGUAAGUAUGUUUCCCUGCUCUUUCUUUGCCAGACCCAUGGGCUGAGGUCAAAGUAAGUGGGUCUAUUUUGUUCAUUCUCCUAAGCUCCUGGAAACUGUUCUGUACAAAACUAUUGAAGUAACCACUUGACACAGAGUAAAUGUGGUACAUACUCUGAUUCUGUCUGUGUAGUUCAAACUCCAGGAUUCUGCUGUAUCUGAUGUUUUAUCCUUUUGCUGGUGAGCAGGAAUAGCUGCACAAACCCUGCAUUGUUACCUGUCAUUUUCAGGGUUGAACACAAGGUGAAACAAACUUUUGUGCUUUGUGUUUUGUUUCAUUCAUUCAUUUGAAGGUGCUCCUAGACAACAACUCCUCCUGUGCGUUCUGCAGUCAGCAGGAGGAGAUGUGUCAGCCAUGGCUGGGCUGUUCCUCAGCACAGGGAUUGUCCCCAAGCCUGGGGGUGCAAAUCCUUCAGUUCUGAAGAGCAGCUGUGCUGAAUAAAGAGGUGCAGAUGUCCUUACAACAACCAGAGUACCGUGGGAAGACGUGCUUGAGGAAAGACCCUGAACCACAUUUACCACCUUUGAAACAAAUGACAAGUCCUAACAUUUGUCUUUAAUCUGCUGGAGAAGCAAGUUCAGGGACUGCUGCUGAGAUGAAUGAGCUUGGGCUUUGUCUACAAGGAUGCAGUGACUUUUUUUAGGAUUCUAUAAGGUUCUUAAGAAGACUGACAUUCCUUGUUCUAGAUCAGCACUGUGAGACCUGCAGUGACUGAGAUAAGGCUGAUAAUGUGCUUUUGGAGAACAAACUCACCCACGUCCCCUGGAAAUGUAGUUCAGAAAACUUUCCUGUUCUCCAAGGUUUAUAUAAGUUCAAAUCUGGAAAGCAAUGAACUCUAAAUAUGUCUUUAAGUGAAGAAAUACUUAGGCAGUAUUUGUGAGCAUGGAAAUAGUAUCUGCCAUUUGGGCUAAUAGCUUAUCUUCUUUAUAAGAGCAGGUAAAGAUAGCACUACAUAUAAGCAUGUGGAGUUUCUGUCCAUUCAGUUUCACUAAAAAUCUGCACUGUCAACUGAAAAAUUUGGGUUAUUAAAUACAUAAUGCAUUGUAACUAUAUGUGCAAUGGUUAUCUGUUUGCAAGCUCCCUGCUUUUCCAAAGUCCUUCUACAAAAUAUUUUUUAUAGAGACACAACACGCCGUGUUUGGAUGGAGUCCUGCAGGGAGAGAUGCAAUUAAGAAUGUUAUGCAAUAAUACAUUGUUUUUCUUACACAUAAUGUAUUUGUGAGCAUUAUACAUGCAGGCAAAAGUGCUGAGCUCAGUAAUUCAGGUCUUUACAUCUUGGUGCCAUACUGGCUGCUUCUGCAGUUUUAGCACAAAAGUAGUAGUCCCAAAACCAGUAUUAAUGAUAGGAAAUUGAAAAUAGUUCAGGAAUUUCUUUUUGGUAGAAAAAAUAUUGAGAAUAUUGCUAUCUAAAGGUUUGCCAGAUAUUAGUUACAUUUUCCCUUUUUAAUAGAGUUGGUUUAUUUCUGAAAAAAUCUCUACAAGAGUGGUGAUGGAGCAGAAACAAUCUUGGUUUUUGAUGUGGAAAUGCAACAUCAUUGUCAGUUAAUACUUCUUCAUAAACGAUAAAAAAUAAUGAUGAUAAAACCCUAUCUGGUUACCAGUUGUUUUCCUUUUGUUAAAGUUGGACUUCACAUUUU